rnacentral:snRNA from 1 species
GUGCUCGCUUCGGCAGCACAUAUACUAAAAUUGGAACGAUACAGAGAAGAUUAACAUGGCCCUUGCGCAAGGAU